GGUCUGCUGGCGCAAUGGUAGCGUAUCAGCCUUCUACUGCACUACAUCCAGUACGAGGGGUUAGCUGAGGGUUGCGGGUUCGAGCCCCGCGUAGACCU